AUUGAACGCUGGCGUCAGGCCUAACACAUGCAAGUCGAGCGAGCGGCGGACGGGUGUGUAGUGUGUGGGGACUGCCCGGUAGAGGGGGAUAACUACUGGAAACGGUGGCUAAUACCGCAUACUAUCGGCUAACCCCUAUGGGAGUCGCUUUUGGGUGGGGUAAAGCGUCACCUAGGCGACGAUAUCUGGCUGGACUGAGGGGAUGAUCAGCCACACUGGUACUGAGACACGGCCCAGACUCCUACGGAGGCAGCAGUGGGGAAGAUGGCACAAUGGGCGCAAGCCUGAUGCAGCCAUGCCGCGGGUAUGAAGAAGGCCUUAGGGUUGUAAAGUACUUUCAGCGGGGAGGCGUGACCCGCAGAAGAAGCACCGGCUAACUCCGUGCCAGCCGCCGCGGUAAUUC
rnacentral:rRNA from 1 species